CCUACGGGCGGCAGCAGUGAGGAAUAUUGGUCAAUGGGCGCGAGUCUGAACCAGCCAUGUCGCGUGCAGGAUGAAGGAUCUAUGAGUUGUCAACUUCUUUUAUAAGGGAAUAAACUCCGGUACGUGUAUCGUUUUGAACGUACCGUAUGAAUAAGGAUCGGCUAACUCCGUGCCAGCAGCCGCGGUAAUACGGAGGAUCCGAGCGUUAUCCGGAUUUAUUGGGUUUAAAGGGUGCGUAGGCGGCGUUUUAAGUUAGCGGUGAAAUGCUGUGGCUCAACCACGAAAGUGCCGUUAAUACUGUGGGACUAGAGAAUAGUUGAGGUAGGCGGAAUGUAUGGUGUAGCGGUGAAAUGCAUAGAGAUCACACAGAACCCCGAUUGCGAAGGCAGCUUACCAAGCCAUAUCUGACGCUGAGGCACGAAAGCGUGGGGAGCAAACAGGAUUAGAUACCCCUGUAGUC
rnacentral:rRNA from 1 species